AAGAACUUAAGUUAAACCAAACUAUUGACCUUCAAAGUCAAAAAUAGAUUUAAAACUAGAUCUUA
rnacentral:tRNA from 1 species